rnacentral:rRNA from 1 species
GACGAACGCUGGCGGCGUGCUUAACACAUGCAAGUCGAACGAAGUGGCGCACGGGUGAGUAACGCGUAAUCAACCUGCACUUCAGAGGGGGACAACAGUUGGAAACGACUGCUAAUACAGCAUACUGAAGGAGGGGAUUGCGUUUGAUUAGCUCGUUGGAGGGGUAACGGCCCACCAAGGCGAUGAUCAGUAGCCGGUCUGGAGGGAUGGACGGCCACAUUGGGACUUGGAAACGGCCCAGACUCCUACGGGGAGCAGCAGUGGGGAAUCUUCCGCAAUGGACGAAAAUCUGACGGAGCAACGCCGCGGGAGUGAUGACGGCCUUCGGGUUGUAAAGCUCUGUUAAUCGGGACGCGGUACCGGAAUAGAAAGCCACGGCUAACUACGUGCCAGCAGCCGCGGUAAUAC